GUUGAUAUGGAUCAAAAGAAAACAGUGACUAGACUCUUGGAAGUAACUCAUAAUCUAUAUUCUACAUAAUUUUAAGAUGGCAGUAUCACAAAUGCUACAAAUGGAAAGGUAGCUGGACGUGGCGUUAUUAUUGCAGGGUGUCCAGAAUGGGAGCCAGGUCCUAAUCAUGCUUUGAGUAAAAUCCUCAAUUCAUCAGCAGCACGUGGUGUACCUUCAACAACACUUCAAAUUACCAAGAGCAUGGCUCUUUAUUAGCCACGUUCAGAACCUGAUAUCAAGGGAAACCAAAUGUCAGAUAAAGUAUAUACUCUACCACUGCAGGCUGUUACAUUUCGAGUCAUUGUUAAAUGUAAAAAAGGAGAGAAAAAUGAUUCAGCCGAGAAUCCUAAUCAGUAGAAUUGUAAAAGAUGGCAAUGAAGAGAUGCAAACAAGAAUUAUUGCUAUUGGUAUCUUUCCCUUCAGUUACACAUUCAACAUAAGUGCAAAAUAUCAAUAGCAAACAUCCAAAGGUUAUACAUGAAAGAAGCGAUGGUAAACCAGAGGAUAUGUCCCUUGCAGUUACACAUACACACAGUCAUAAUCAACAUAAAUGGCAGCAUUCAUGAGAAACCUUAAUGUAGUAAAACAGAGAGCAAAAGCCAUGUACGUUGCUGAAUC
rnacentral:lncRNA from 1 species